rnacentral:lncRNA from 1 species
AAAAAAAUAAAAACAAUCAUCAAUAUUGUGUUUUCGACACCAUGUCAAAUUGUCAAUAUAUACAGAAGUAUAGAAGUAGGAUAUCGGUUUUACAAAAGCUUACUUUCCAUUUAGGACGAGAAAAAAACGAAAUGAUUGAACCCGAUGAUCAUGAUUUUCGUUGCACAAGGAAACGGACGGGGUACCAGAUGAGUAUGAAUUGAAGAAGCGCGGUACCACCACCACUGCAGGUCUGCAGCAGCAAGGAAGACGCUUUCAUUCGUUGCCCCUGCCUGCCCGCCGGCCGCGGUUUUCCAAAUCAGCUCCUCCUCGUUUGUUUCCGUUCCAACCGCAAAAGUCGGCAGCUCGUCAAUGCCCCAUCUCCCUUCUUUCAGGCCCAUUCCCC